rnacentral:rRNA from 1 species
AACGAACGCUGGCGGCAGGCCUAAAACAUGCAAGUCGAACGAACCUUCGGGUUAGUGGCGCACGGGUGAGUAACACGUGGGAAUGUACCUCUGGGUGCGGAACAACGUAGGGAAACUUACGCUAAUACCGCAUAAUGUCUACGGACCAAAGAUUUAUCGCCCAGAGAUCAGCCCGCGCUAGAUUAGGUAGUUGGUGGGGUAACGGCCUACCAAGCCUACGAUCUAUAGCUGGUCUGAGAGGAUGAUCAGCCACACUGGAACUGAGACACGGUCCAGACUCCUACGGGAGGCAGCAGUUAGGAAUAUUGGACAAUGGGGGCAACCCUGAUCCAGCCAUGCCGCGUGUGUGAAGAAGGCCUUAGGGUUGUAAAGCACUUUCGUCCGCGAAGAUAAUGACAGUAACGGAAGAAGAAGCUCCGGCUAAAUUCGUAG